AUUGAUAUUGAUAGAGAUAACAUCAGAUCGAUGGUAAGAUUUAUGUGGAGGAGAUUCAGAACUUCAAUAGGUGAAAAUCAAUUUAUUUGAUCAAUUACUUUGGUCGAGAUCUAUUACUUUGAUUGAUACCAUGAGUUUCUCCAAUCAAUUUUGAUAAUACUUUGACUAAAGAAAAUGAUGUUUAUGUUGUUUCUUGUUGAGAUUUUUUUUAAUAGUUGGAUCUCCUUUGCCAGAGAAAUCACCGGAGAGAGUUGUGGAGGAUAGAAAGUCAUUAUUUCAAAUGAUAAAUAUGAUAUUAGGUUAGUUUGGAAAGGAAGAGAUGGAAAUUGUUUGAUAUUGAAAUUAGAUUCUAAGUUCUUGAGUGAAAAUAGGUUAUUUUUUGCUAAUCUGAUUGUGGAUUUUUAUAAGAUUUAUGUCGUUUUAGCGAUUCUAUGUAGAAUUGAGGUUUAUAAUUUGGGAGUUUAUCAUUAGAAUAUAUAGCUUAUGUUUUCAGAUGAUAUCAUGAAAAGUUUUCAAACGGGUGUUUCAAGAUCGAUUGAUGCAUUUGAGGUAAUUCAGCUGGGUUCAUAUCUUGAAUUCAGUAUCCAUUCCAUAUUUAUUUGAGUAUAUGAUAAAUAUUAGCUAUUCUGUAAAUUUCUCUCAUAGUUAUUGUUUGUUACAAGAUUAAAUAGUUCUUAGAAUAACUGGAUCUCCUAAGUUUACUGUUUAUCAUAAAUUGAUUUCUCGGCAUGAAUACAUAUGGGUGGUAAUGAUUUUUUGUUUGUUGUUAAUAAAUGUAUUCUUUUUUUCUUUUUUAAAUUGGAUAUUUGGUUUGAUUUACAUACAUUUCCCUAUACAGGUGAUUUUGUUGGUCAUAAAUGCCACUAGUGGAGUUGGAGGGUUGCGGGAUCUCUAUCAUGUUUGCUUUGUGCAUAAUUUUGGAUCCAAAACUAAUUGGAAGAAUUGGGCACAAAUUGCCAGGGGCUAUAUAUUGAGUUGAUUUUCCGUGUGUACAUAGUUGUACACCUGUUUUCUUAAUGUGUACAUAAUUGUACACAUGUUAAUUUUCAGUGCGCACAUAGUUUUACAUCUCUCAAUUGUUAGUUAUAUAACUUAAGAAUGUGAUGGGUACGCGGCACUAUACGGAAGUUGACUGCCAUUACAUUCCUGAAUAUGCAGAAUCAUUCAGUUUCUUAUGUUUGUUGUUGUAUUGAUCGGAUUGCAGACAUCAAAGCUAGAGUUUAAUCAAAUCCCCGUGAAGAUGCAUGGGUUUGUGACUUCUUGGGAAAUUAUAAAAACAUCCUUAUUAAACAGUUUUUCAUUUAUGUGCAGAUAUGUGUACAUAGUUGAAUUUCAGCAAUCACUUUUUGUUAUCGAGUUGUUAAUGUGUACAUAGUUGUACACCUAUUUAUUCUUUAUGUGUACAUAGUUGUACACCUAUCAUUAAUGUGCACAUAGUUAUAAUAUUCUGCUUGUUCCUUUUCA